GACGGACGCUGGCGGCGUGCUUAACACAUGCAAGUCGAACGAUGACGACCGAGCUUGCUCGGUCUGAUUAGUGGCGAACGGGUGAGUAACACGUGAGCAACCUGCCCUUCACUCUGGGAUAACCUCGGGAAAUCGGGGCUAAUACCGGAUAUGAGCUCCUGUCGCAUGGCGGGUGUUGGAAAGUUUUUCGGUGAAGGAUGGGCUCGCGGCCUAUCAGUUUGUUGGUGAGGUAGUGGCUCACCAAGGCGAUGACGGGUAGCCGGCCUGAGAGGGCGACCGGCCACACUGGGACUGAGACACGGCCCAGACUCCUACGGGAGGCAGCAGUGGGGAAUAUUGCACAAUGGGCGAAAGCCUGAUGCAGCGACGCCGCGUGAGGGAUGACGGCCUUCGGGUUGUAAACCUCUAUCAGCAGGGAAGAAGCGAAAGUGACGGUACCUGCAGAAGAAGCGCCGGCUAACUACGUG
rnacentral:rRNA from 1 species